GGGUGAGUAACGCGUAAGUAAUCUACCCUGAUAUCUGGGAUAACAAUUCGAAAGGAUUGCUAAUACCGGAUACGCUGAUUUAUCAGGAAAGGUGGCCUCUUCAUGAAAGCUACUGUAUCAGGAGGAGCUUGCGUACCAUUAGCUAGUUGGUGGGGUAAUGGCCUACCAAGGCGACGAUGGUUAGCGGGUCUGAGAGGAUGAUCCGCCACACUGGAACUGAAACACGGACCAGACUCCUACGGGAGGCAGCAGUGAGGAAUAUUGCGCAAUGGGGGAAACCCUGACGCAGCGACGCCGCGUGGAUGAUGAAGGCUUUCGGGUCGUAAAAUCCUGUCAGAUGGGAAGAAAUGCUAUGAGGCUAAUACCCUUGUAGUUUGACGGUACCAUCAAAGGAAGCACCGGCUAACUCCGUGCCAGCAGCCGCGGUAAUACGGAGGGUGCAAGCGUUGUUCGGAAUUACUGGGCGUAAAGCGCGCGUAGGCGGCCUUUUAAGUCAGAUGUGAAAGUCCACGGCUCAACCGUGGAAGUGCAUUUGAUACUGGGAGGCUUGAGUACUGGAGGGGAUGGUGGAAUUCCCGGUGUAGAGGUGAAAUUCGUAGAUAUCGGGAGGAAUACCGGUGGCGAAGGCGACCAUCUGGCCAGAUACUGACGCUGAGGUGCGAAAGCGUG
rnacentral:rRNA from 1 species